AUGCUUACCAAUGAGAGAAACUUCUCUGUGAAAUCUUCAUAUCUUUUCCUUAUUAAAACUGAUGUGGGUUUCCCACACAAGUUUCUAUGGAAAAUUAAAAUUCUAGCCAAGAUUAAAAUGUUCUUUUGGUUGACUGUGCAUAAAAGCAUUCUAACUAAAGACAACUUAAUCAUAAAAGGGUGGAAAGGGAAGAAAGAAUGUGUCUAUUGUGGACAUGAUGAAACUAUUGAUCAUUUGUUUUUUAGUUGUUCUGCCGCCAGACUUAUAUGA
rnacentral:rRNA from 1 species